GACGUAGGUGGCAAGCGUUAUCCGGAAUUACUGGGCGUAAAGCGCACGCAGGCGGUCUUUUAAGUUUGACGUGAAAGCUCCCGGCUUAACUGGGAGAGGUCGUUGAAGACUGGAAGACUUGAGGCAAUGAGAGGGGUGUAGAAUUCCCGGUGUAGUGGUGGAAUGCGUAGAGAUCAGGCGGAACACCCGUGGCGAAGGCGGCCAGCUGGGUCGUCCCUGACGCUGAGGCGCGAAGGCGUGGGGAGCGAACGGG
rnacentral:rRNA from 1 species